rnacentral:rRNA from 1 species
UGAGCAAUCUGCCCUUCACAUCGGAAUAACCAUUGGAACGAUGGCUAAUACCGAAUAUGACUUCGGAUCGCAUGAUCUGAAGUGGAAAGCUCGGCGGUGAAGGAUGAGCUCGCGGCCUAUCAGCUUGUUGGUGAGGUAAUAGCUCACCAA